rnacentral:rRNA from 1 species
AUUGAACGCUGGCGGCAGGCCUAACACAUGCAAGUCGAGCGAGCGGCGGACGGGUGAGUAAUGUAUGGGGACUGCCCGCUAGAGGGGGAUAACUACUGGAAACGGUGGCUAAUACCGCAUACUAUCGGAUAACCCAUAUGGGAUUAGCUAGUCGGUGGGGUAACGGCUCACCUAGGUGACGAUCUCUAGCUGGUCUGAGAGGAUGAUCAGCCACACUGGCACUGAGACACGGCCCAGACUCCUACGGAGGCAGCAGAGGGGAAUAUUGCACAAGGGGAGCAAGCAUGAUGCAGCCAUGCCGCGAGUAGGAAGAAGGACUUAGGGUUGUAAAGUACUUUCAGCGGGUAGGCGUUACCCGCAGAAGAAGCACCGGCUAACUCCGUGCCAGCAGCCGCGGUAAUUC